GAACAACAGCAGCGCUGCUGCUCCUCCCUCUCCUCUGCUGUGAAGAUGUGGAGUCUGGACUGACCGUCCCUUCGAGCAACACCAGAGCAUCUAAAGCCCUGCUGGCUCUUGUCUUAAAUAUCCUUGGAUCCUCCAUGUGCUGGCUAUAGGGUCUGGGGCACAAAAGGAGCUCAAUAACUGCUGAAUGACUUGCCGAUGCCCCCGCUUUGUGCUUGGCACCGAGGACAGAGAGAGAAAUUAGACCGUUCCUGCCCCGGAGAAGUGGCUUGUCUGGGGGAGCAGGCAGUGUGCUCCAAGACACAGCCCAAGACAGGAAGCAAGUGCCCCUGGAGUACCUUCUGGGAAGGUUGGUGCAAGGACUGCCUGCCCAGGACCUGUGUUGCCACUUCACCUGACUGUCCUAUCUUUUGUCAAGAUUGUUUGCAACAACUCCUAAUUAAGAGGCCAGUCAAGCUCAUUUGCCUGAUUUCUCUCUUCUCCCUACCCUGCCUCCAACAACCAAAACAAUCCCCACACCAAGCCUCUUCUCCCAACACAUGGAAACAGGUUGUUUUCUUUCUUGAUCCCUUUUGUUGUCUCUGGGAUAAAGCUCAAAUGCCUUACCAGAGCCUGUUAGUUCCCAACCUUCCAUCCUCCGUCCCUGGAAGCUGCCCCCGUGGCACUCCACCUCUGCACACGUGGUCAGCCACCCUCAGUGUCUCAUUCUGCCCGAAAUUCUGUUGCCCUUUCAAGCCUUUGCGGGCUCUUUUCUUGCCUAGUACUGCCUUGUCCAUCUCCUGCACUGACUACCCACAUCCACCCAGUGCAGCUGCAUUAAUCUGCUGGUCUUCCAGCAGCCAAGAAGGGCUGGAAACGCCGGAGCGGUCCACUUCCGAAGCUUCCUCCACACCCCCUGCACCGAAUCGCUCUCCGAAUCCUGUUGAUUUUACCCCUUAAAUGACUGUUGAUUUUACCCCUUAAAUGACUGUAAAUCUGUCCCCUCCUCUCCACCACUGCUGCUACUAGGCUCCCUUCAGGAGCCUCCAUGUCUUCAGUCUUGCCCAAUGCAGUCUCAAUCCAUCUUCCCCUCUGUAGAUGUUCCCAUGUCAAUCUGUUCCUUAAAACCUCUGGGUCCCAGAGGUCCCUCCUGGCGCAGCAGGUUAAGGAUCAAGCCUUGUCACUGCAGCGGCUCGGGUUACUCCUGUGACUUGGGUUGGAUCCUUGGCCCAGGAAGGUCCACAGGCCACAGAUGCAGCCCCCAAACCCCCAAACCCUGAGGUCCCUAAGGGACUUCCCCCAGCAGAACUCUCAGGCCUCAUUUCCUACACUCCAGGUGCAGAGGGAACUCAGCUCCAAGGCUGGCCCCCAGUCCUGUCUGUCCUGCAUAGCCCCCUUUGGAGCCCCUGCAGGACCUGCUGGGCACAGUAGUGAGAAUGUGGCCUCUGGUACCAGAGUGCUUAGAUUCCAGCCUCGGCUCAGCCAAGCUGUGUGCGCUUGGGUGAUACCUCACCUGUCAGUUUCAUCCUCAGUCAAUGAGAGCGAAAGUUGCCUUCAUCCACAGCGUUGUUAGAUUUUUCAAAGGUAAAACUGAAGACUCCUCGGAAGAGUGUUAGGAGCAGAGAAAACAUUAUCCAAGUGUUAACUCUUAUCAUUGUUUGCGAGACUUCAUUUGGGUGCUUGAGAUUUGUCUACUUUGGCCUCUCUACUGUCUAGAAUAGUGCAAGAGAAAUGGCAGCAGAUGGCUUGUCACUGGGGUACAGGUUGGGGGGGGGGAUGGAUUGUGAGAGGAAAUUCUGAGAGAUUAGGGGCCAAGGAAGUUUAGCUGUUUCAAGGCCUGUGAAAUUGAUUUUUCAUUCUCUGUAAUCCAGGUUUCAUUUUAGUUUAGAAAACAGGUCUUACGGGGACAAUCAGGCCCAGAUGUUUCCUCUUCUUUCCCCCCAGCACCAAGGAGGCCUUC
ensembl:lncRNA